AUUAUAGUUGGUUUACAGUAUUCUGUCAAUUUUCUACUGUACAGCAAGGAGACCCAGGCACACAUACAUAUAAUUCUUUUUCUCACAUUAUUCUCUAUCAUGCUCCAUCACGAAUAACUAGAUAUAGUUCUCUGUGCUAUACAGCAGAAUCUCAUUGCUUUUCCAUUCCAAAGAACAACCAGAAUAAUCCACGUUUCAAUAUGGCAUUUUUCAUCUCCUCUGAAAAUGCUGUGAGUUUAGAAAUGGCAUUGCUGGUCAAAGGGAAAUGCUGCACCUUGGACAAAAUAGCCAGUGAUCUCAUAUCAGGAGCUGCCAACCCCUCCCACCAAUGGGAGGAUUUCCUUCAUGCCCCAAGAAAUCACAGAUUUUGUAUAGCAGGCGAUCAGAAGGGUGGGAAUCAAGCCAGUAUUUAACACUGAGUGCUGUGGGUGGGACUCCCCAGGGAUGUUCUAAUAAGGCGACACAAGCUUUGAAGAAAGAAAAAAAAAAAAAAACUUGUUUAAGACAGCUGGCUAAUCUUCUUGGGUGAAUCAAGUUGCAACCAACUUGAAAAGACUUGGUAAGAAUAGCUAUGUACCCUUGACAGAAUGCCCCAUUAAUACUAUUUUUAAAAAUACCUAGAGACUUAACAUUUUUAUAAAAAUAACCUGGUAUUCUUUGUAUCCAAGUGUGACCCAUUAGAGGAGAAAUUUAUGGCAGAUCUGUUCCCCAGUGAUCGCCUAAAAAUGUGACUAGAGAGACACUUGCUUCUCAAUGUAGGGUAAAAGCUAGCACAUCAAAGUGGAAACAAUAUUUUGCAAAGUUUUCCUCCAAGGAGGAGCACAGUUUUUUGAAAGUCUGCUGUAAGCAGAGGAACCGUCUUCUAAUGUUGAAGGAGGCAAAGAAAUAAUUCAAGUUUUUUAUUCCCAUGUAGGAACAACAGACACAAUAUACUUAAAAGCAUAUAAUAGGGCAGGACUUAGGAUAAUCUUUGUGUGUUACAAAUCAGAUGUAUUUAAACGAAUCAUUGUAUGAUUACAUGUAAAUGAUUACAUGAUUAUAUUAUAAAACAUUUCAAUACUCAUCUUAUUGCUGUCUCUCCUUUGCUGGCUUUGAAGGAGCAAGCAGUUAUCUUAGGAAGCCCCAUGUGGGAAGAAAUUAUAGGAUGCCUCAAGGAGUUAAGGGCAGUCUCUAGCCCUUAACUGAAGAAGGGCUAGAAGAAAGAAAGAAGGCAAAUGCAAGGAGCUGAAAUCUUCCAACAACUACCUGAGCUUGGAAGUGGAUCCUUCCACAGUCAAGUCUCAAAUGAGACCACAUCCUUGGCUGACACCUUGAUUGCAGCCUUGUAAAACCCUGAAGCAGAGAACCCACUUACACCAUGCUUAGACUCCUAGCUCAUAGAAAUUGUGAGAUAAUAAAUGUGUGUUGUUUUAAGCUGCUGCGUUUGUGGAAAUAUUGUUAGACAAUGAUAGAAAACUAAGAUAAUCUGUCUCCUACAGUGGAAUGACUGUUAGUCAUUGGUGUCAGAGGAUAUAUUUAAGGGAGCCCACAAAAAAGUUAAAUGGGCAGGUAGUGGUAUAAAUACUUCAGGGUGUAGUUAAAAUGAUGCCAAGGGUCUAACUCAGACAUGACCUAUUGGCCACAUAGACUGGAGGAGGGUUUGGCAUUUAGAAGAUCUUCAUAUUCUUGCAGCAAUGCAUAUACACCUUGGAGAUACAGGACCUUAUACUCCAUGGAAGACCAGACAAUUGACUCUCUGCACUAUGCUCUCAUCAAGCUUUGAAAGGACAUUGGAAAAACCCCAUUUCCCACAUAGUUCUUAUUAGACCAGAAUGAGACCUUUAAAAAUUAACCAUAAUGCAAAUAUGGAAACAGUAGGUACAUCUUUCUCUUUAAAGCAGAGAACAGACUUCUUUAAAACAGAGGUUUCCAGGUCAUUAUUUUUCCUCUUUGUUAGCAAUAUAACAUGAGGUGGGACAAAAAAAACCACUUAAGGCAAAUUUUCUUCGACCUAUUUUGUUUUCUGCUUCUGGAGCGUGACUUCUCCAGGUUAAUAGUGCUGCUAGAUCAAGAGGUCCUUUGGAGCAACCCAAUACAGCUGAAAACAGCUCCAACAGCCGCCUGCCAGUGACAAUGAGAGGCCCACAGAGACCCACAUCUCACAUUCCCCUGUGGGAGAAGAGAUAGCUGAGCUUUUUUCCUAACCUGUGGGUAGAUAUAUUCCAAAGCUUGAUUGUGUUCAAAUUUCCUAAUGGGAACCAGGACCUCUGAUUUGUAAAGAAGCAUCUACUCUGCAAGGAAAUCAGACUAUAUGCCAUAUGAGGGAGAAUUGUGUGAACUGGCCAAGAGCACCCUGAAUCAAAGUAAUUCUAGAGGAAUCCUCAUCCCAGCUCUUUGAAAGUCACGUAACUGUUUAGAGCCUUGCUGUGAAAUCUAAGUGCAAACUCUAGCUCUAGGAUGGCUGAUAGGUCUCGGUGUUUGAUCCUAGCUUGAACUGAUUGCAAAGGAUGGCUGGAAAGCGGCCUAGGUAAAUCCACUGGGAUGCAAGAGUGGAGGGCCCCCGAGCUUGGAAGCCAAAGGACAGUGAACCAGCAGUGAGGAGGUGGGACACAUGUCCACGAUCAAACAGAAUGGUUUGCUCAAGUAGGCCUAUGGGAAGGGAACAGGCCGACUCCCAAACAAUUUUAACCUCUGUUGAAAAAAAUCUUCUUUUGUUCAGUGAACACAGUGAAGGCUAAAAAGCAACACUCUUCAAAGCCAAGUAAGGCAAGGAGGUAUUAUUGGUUUUGUGUUUGUUAGUGUUGCUUGUUUUAUUUUCACCCAUCACCAGAAGCACCCAGACUUGCUAUGGUUUUUAUGAAGAAUUCUUGCACUAUUUAAUCCUAAGCAAUGCAAUUUUGGCUAAUAUCCAGCAGGUUAAGUAGCUCUUCAAGUAGUUCUUUCAUUUUAAAGCAAACAAAUGUAGAAAAUGAUAUUUCCAGAGGGCUCCACAGUCAUUUAGAGAUACAGUGGCAAGUUAGUUUUUCCAACAUUUGCCCUGGUCUGGCCACAAUUUUACCUGAUUUUCCAUCUCCAAUAUGGCUCACGGGCAUUUUGCCUUUUGUGGUAGAAUUCCAGAAUGAAGUUGAGUUACCCACGAAGACCUUUAAACCUUAACUCUUGCCUCACUGUUAUGACGCUUUCAUUACCAAAACUUUAGAGAAAUAAUCCACUGUACUCAACUGCAGAAACUUCAGACCUACAAACUCCCAUUACUGCUUCUUGCUAAUUCCCCUGCAAGUGGCCAGUGGAGCAGUUGGGAGGGAACAGCACAUUGUGCUGCCCCUGUUUUUGUGUUGUUUUUCAUUGAAAUUAUUUGGUAUUUAAAAGAAAGAUUCCCACUGGCUGGUGUCUUCUCUAUUUCUGUUUCUAAAGUACUACCAGCUACUCAGGCCUGGCUUCUCUGGGAAUCUAACCUUCUGCCCUAUAUCCCAGGCCUCCAGGCAAUGUUUCCAUGGUUCACUGGAGCAAGUGAAGAAAAGGAAAGAGGCCAGCAAUUACAAACGGACUGUGAAUCAUUUCCUGCAGCAUAAUUAGGCUUCUAGAGUCUACAGAGGCAGUCCUAAGUCCUGAAGAAACCACUCAAUGUUUGUGGUUUAGCUACUCAAUAGAAUACGAUGCAGCCAUUCACACGAGGAGGUAGAGGCAUGUUCGACUUCAAGGAAAGCUGUGCAUUAAGCUUUGUUAGUCAUAAGCCUCUUCCUGAAGGUUUGGAGAGCAUGGGUUCAGAUAAAACAAGAAAUCUGAGAGAAUAUAUGCUCACAUGGCGGCCAUGGCUACUUCUGGGUUGCGGUAUCAUGCCUUUCUUCCUUCCCUCCCUUCCUCCUUCCUUCUUUCCUUUCUCCUUUCUCUUUGAAUUUUCCAAAUAUUCUCCAAUAAGCAUGUAUGAGUUGUGGCAUUUUCAGAAAUGUCCGCUGGGUUCUCUGGGUGCCACUGAGUGGAUGUGCAGACCCUAAAGCCUCUUCUUGUUCCAGCCUUGGCCCACGUCCUGCAGGGCCCUGGUGUGACUUGCUGCUCUGGCUCUGCAGUAGAUGAGAACGCUUUGAAAAUCAGACCUGGUCCUUACUGCCCAAGUGACCCUGGGAAACUUAGUUACCCGAUGACCCUCAGAUGUCUUGUCUAUGAAAUAAGGAACUUGAUACUGCCUGUCUGCCAGCCCUGCGGUCAAACGAGGGAAUGGUGUGUUGUCAAACGAGGCCAAAUGAGACGGUAAAUGGAAAAGUGUUUGUCAACUGUAAACAAUGUGCGAUUGUUCCCUCUUAUCACAAUUUCCUUGCUGUCCACACAGGAACAGGAGAGGUCGAGAGCGCCCAAGCCUAGGGUGGCAGGGCUGCUCCUUACAAGUGGCUUAUGGGUGCGUGUGGGCAUCAACAUUCACUUUUGACAGAAAUGCUGUUAUCUAAAUCAGAAUUUCUCUGGUUGUCUCAAAAAGGUCUUUCUAGUUAUUUUUUCCCCAAUUCAGUAUUUAACUUAAAAAGGCUUUCAGAAACCCUAGCUGUGAAAUGUGAGGAAAGUGAUUACAAGCAGAAGGACAGCUUAUGAAGUGUCCUGAGUUGUAGCUGAAUGUGGGUCCUGGCUACAGGGUUGAAUUCCUAUAUAGCACUGGGGCCACAGCACAUUCAAAAGCCAGAAUCUCUGAGUUCUUGUCGUGGCUCAGCAGGAAACAAACCUGACUAGUAUCCCUGAGGACACAGGUUCGAUCUCUGGCCUUGUUCAGUGGGUUAAGAACUGGUCUUGCUGUGAGAUGUGGUGUAAGUCACAGAUGCAGCUUGAAUCUGGCUUUGCUGUGGCUGUGGCGUAGGCCAGCAGCUGUAGCUCUGAUGAGACCCCUAGCCUGGGAAACUUUGUAUGCUGUGGAUGCGGCCCUAAAAAGAAAAAAAAAAAAAAA
rnacentral:lncRNA from 1 species